CAGCCGCAUUGGUCGCCCGCCUCUUCCGAUCAUUCGAUGAGACUCCCCGCAGGAGGAUUCGUGAUGUCCGCAAGUGGUGAAGCGGGAGGAUUCGUGACGAGGUCGUCCCCUUCGACAAGAUCACAGCGCGGCUCGUCCCCAUCGCCCAGUAGUUGUGCGCCAGCGUCUCCAACGACGUAACCACCAGCCACCUCGACGAUUCCACCACGGUAUCCCCCACCUCGUCUUCUUUUUUAUGCUCGAUCUUCCCCGUUUGCUCCCUUCGUUUUGGUCGCCAAGAUUUGUGUUUCUGCCUUCUUCUUGGGAAAUCGUAAAUGAUAUCUGCUUUUCUGAGUCCUUUAGUUUUGCUCUUUUUGUCGUCGGUAGGUUCCUCUGAGUUCCGUUGAUUGCACAAAAUUGGUGAUGACAAUUGAUUCAUGAUAAAGCUAAUGUAUCAUCAUUCUGGUGAGCGAUCUGAACAAGAACCUCCGUUGAUUGCAGAUGAUGCUUAUGAGAUGAUCUUGAAGGUCCAUGAUUUGCUACCGUUUAUGGAACUAUUGUCUUGGAAUUUUCUGAUGCACAGUUACUAUUACUACUUGCUCGUGGUGAUGAUAAAUUGUGCAGCUAAAAAUAAUCUACAUCGUUCCGUCAUUGUUAUCCAUAUGUUUAUGCAAAUCUGGCAUGAUCUCUGUCCGAUCUUAGUUGAAUUUUUCCCCUUUCUUUUAUGAUAGGAUGUUUGCUUUUGGUUACAUGAUUAAUUUGUUCUAACAGGGGUUUUUAUGCAGAUUGUAUUACUCCAAUUGAAUUAUUUCAGAAUGCUGCUUGAUUGGAUAAGAGCUAAUUUAUGAUCGAGACUU
rnacentral:lncRNA from 1 species